AGGUGCAAUUAUACUGAUACUAAUAUACUAGAUCACAUCAUAACUCUACAGUUAAGCCUCAUUUACGAUAGUAAUAUUAAGAUGGGUAACCUAAGAAGUCUUCGUAUUACACCUC